CUACGGAGUACAAAGGCAUUACUUAAAAAUAGAGUAAUGAACAAUUUAUUUUAUUUUUGGUUUUUAAAAAUCCUUAAUUAUAUUUUUAAGGUCUUAUAUGGUUGUGAAUUAUAUAUAAACCAACACAUUUUCUUGUAAUCAGUUUUGAGAGUUCUACACUCUCAAAAUAGUUCUUUGAAAACUGAAUAGUAAAAACAACGCAACAUUAAUGAGUCAUAUUUUGAUUUUUAUUCAUUAAAAAUUAAGUUUUAAAAUAUUGAUGAAAAAUAAUUGUUGUCGAGUCCAAAAAAAUAUUUUUUUGGUAUCAAUCAAAUUAGAUUACCAAUCUUAAUCAACAAUAGGCAAGUAAAU
rnacentral:misc_RNA from 1 species